rnacentral:rRNA from 1 species
GACGAACCGUCCAAACGUUAUUCGGAAUCACUGGGCUUAAAGAGUUCGUAGGCGGUUCGGUAAGUUAGGUGUGAAAUCCCUCGGCUCAACCGAGGAACUGCGCUUAAUACUGCCGAACUUGAGGGAGAUAGAGGAGAGCGGAACUGAUGGUGGAGCGGUGAAAUGCGUUGAUAUCAUCAGGAACACCGGUGGCGAAGGCGGCUCUCUGGGUCUCUCCUGACGCUGAGGAACGAAAGCUAGGGGAGCAAACGGG